rnacentral:rRNA from 1 species
AUUGAACGCUGGCGGCAGGCCUAACACAUGCACGUCGAACGAGUGGCGGACGGGUGAGUAAUGUCUGGGAAACUGCCCGAUGGAGGGGGAUAACUACUGGAAACGGUAGCUAAUACCGCAUACCAUCGGAUGUGCCCAGAUGGGAUUAGCUAGUAGGUGGGGUAACGGCUCACCUGGGCGACCAUCCCUAGCUGGUCUGACAGGAUGAACAGCCACACUGGAACUGAGACACGGUGCAGACCCAUACGGGAGGCAGCAGUGGGGAGUAUUGCACAAUGGGCGCAAGCCUGAUGCAGCCAUGCCGCGUGAAUGAAGAAGGCCUUCGGGUGGUAGAGUACUUUCAGCGAGGAGGCGGUACUAGCAGAAGAAGCACCGGCUAACUCCGUGCCAGCAGCCGCGGUAAUUC